rnacentral:rRNA from 1 species
AUGUCUUCGUCUACCGCACCCAUCCAAUCUAGCCUCAACUACAACACCUUCGAGCCGCUUACCCGGACGAGCUAUGUUCUCUCGAAAGCACAAGCAAUAUCCCAAAUAAUGGGCGCCAUCUUGUAUGGCUACAUCGACCAAACCAUCGAGGAGCCUCCCAAGAGCAUCACCUCCAAAGUUAAAGACAACAAGGAUUAGGUGAUAUCAAACCAUGCGUAUGCCCCCUGGCUUGUUCAGGAUCAACAAAUUGUUGCCUAUCUUUUUCGUAAUCUAUCCAAGGAAGUCAUCGUUCAAGUUGCAUCGCUUGAGACGUCGCAUGCCAUAUGGACAGCCUUGGCCACCAUGUUUUCUGCUGUCUCGCUGUCCAGGGCUAACAAUCUUCGCGCCGCACUCACCAAUGCCCAGAAGGGUUCACUCUCCGCCUCGACGUCCUUCGGGCAUAUGCGCUCCCUCUCCGAUGAGCUCGCGGCGGAGGGAAAACCACUCGGGGAGGGGGAGCCCAUCACCUUCAUCAUCGCCGGCCUUGACAUGGACUACCAACCCAUCAUCUCCGCACUGGACGUCCGCACCGAUCCCAUCACCGCUGACAUCUUCUUCUCCCUUAUGGCCAACUUUGAACAACAGGUGUAG